rnacentral:tRNA from 1 species
GGCAUGGUGGUGCAGUGGGUAGCACUCUGACCUCACAGCAAGAAGGUCUUGGGUUUAAAUCCCAGCCCGAGCCU